CCGAGUAUGGCGGCUGUGAAGGCUGUUAGUGUUCAUCGUUGUACCAGGGCGGCUGAUUCAGUGGGCGCAGCUCAAACUGAGACGUUACGUUUGAGUUAAUGGUCAGAGAAUAAAUGCAGACAUCCCACCCUGCAAAAACUCUUUUCAGGGAGGCAGCACCACCACCCUCGCCACCCCAUAUUCUCCCCUCCGGUGUCGACCUCCAAGUGUAAGCAGCUUGGCUGGGAUAUUUCUGGCAUUUUCUGUUUUUAGCUGACAGCAAGAGUCUCACCGACACCUUGAGGUCUCAGCAACAUUGAAGAUGCACAGUGGCUGGGGUCCUGUAGGAAUCUAUGAUGUACAGCAGCAACUCCAACUACAGUUCUUCAUGGCAGGGGGUUCUCACUCUCGAACUCGCUGUGUGGCCUGCCAUUUCGAUAUCUCCAGGUGUGCCUUGGAAGACAUACACCUUCAGUGUUCGGCCCGGUGGACAACCUGAUUCCUUGCAGAUGUCACCAACUGAAGCGUCACAGAAGAUUGAAACGUUGAGACAGCAGGCAGUUUACACUGCUAUGGAAAGAAGGCCCCGCACUUGAGAUAUAUUAUAUCUCCCUCUCUCUCCCUCCCCCUCUCUCCCCCUCCCCCUCCCUCCUCCCCUCUCCCUCUCUCCUUUCCUCCCUCUCCCUCCCUCCCUCUUCCUCGUUCCCUUCCUCCCUCCCUCUCCCUCCAUCCUUCCCCCCCUCUCUGAUUGAAACAGCGAGCCGUUGGUAUUCCCUCUAGCUCCUGCAACAACAUCUCUCUCUCCCUCGCUAGUGAGAGGGGGAGCCUGUUUGAGAUGUCAAAGUGUUGGGAUGGACAAUAGUUUUCGAUGAUCUCCAGAUAAUGAUCUUUUUGGGGGCUUUGCUAUCGCUUGCAUGGUGGGUGGUGGGGUGUUGAUGCUUCAGCUGGAGCAAGUGGGGGAAAGGGAGGGGAGGGGGGCAUUUGGGGUUCUCACGUUUUCUGUCAUUCAUUCUUCGGGGAUUUUUUUCAGUUUCAUCAAUGUCUGCAAAGAGUAAGGAUUUCAGGUUAUACUGUACAUUGUAUACAUUCUCUGAUAUUAACUUCAACCAUCGAAUGUAUAUGGCACACAGUUAAUGUUUUAUAAUCUCAUACUGAAGUCAUAGUCAGAGUUAUAGUCAUACUUUAUUGAUCCCAGGGGGAAAUUGGUUUUCAUUACAGUUGCACCAUAAAUAAUAAAUAGUAAUAGAACCAUAAAUAGUUAAAUAGUAAUAUGUAAAUAGUAAAUUAUGCCAGUAAAUUAUGAAAUAAGUCCAGGACCAGCCUAUCGGCACAGGGUGUCUGACCCUCCAAGGGAGGAGUUGUAAAGUUUGAUGGCCACAGGUAGGAAUGACUUCCUAUGACGCUCUGUGCUGCAUCUUGGAGGAAUGAGUCUCUGGCUGAAAGGUCAGGAAAAUGACAGGUGCGGAGGAUGGACAAGCCAUAUUAGCUCCUCUUGAAGGUGAGCCAUAUGGUUAGCAUUUCUCGGAGCAGGCUAGAGGGAGCUCUGACCGACAUCAAACCCAUUGUCUGUCUAAGCCAGGAGACCUGUUAUUGGUUAAAAAGUAAGAACAUUAUGGAAUUCUGCCAAUAAAAUCAAUAACUGUUUUCAUGCUAGAUGGCAGUUUUGUUGCCAGUAUAAUUUGACCUUGGUUCUCCUAUGACUUUUGCAAUUAAAAAUUCCCAAACUGAUGUGACAAAAUUAAAUUUUAACUUCAGAAAUGAUGAUGAAGAGUAUAAUCUGUUGAUGAAGUUUGUAUAUAUCCACAUCUGCUAUUCCUAUUGUAAGUAAUACUACAAUAUGCAAGUAACUUACAACAGAUGUUGUUUUGUUUUGCUUCAACUGGCAUAUCUUACUAAAUGCAAACAAUUACUUUCUUCAAGUCAGAAAAUUUAUAAAGUCUUCAUAAUUUCCUUGAUACAGCUUGAUUCAAUUUGCUGAUCAGCAGCACCUGUUGGAAAUUCACCAUCUUUCAUUCUGGUAAUUAGAUUACAAUUAUUUAAUGCAUAGUGACCAGGAAAAGUUUAAAGGGCAAGUUUGUCAAAAAAAUUUUGGUGUGUCAUAUCAUAUCAUGGAAUAGAGUACAGAAUUCUCAUUGAUGAUUUCAUAAUAUAUCCUUGUAAAAUUUUACUUUCAUUUUCAAUAUUAAACGUAAUAGAGUAGCGAAUUAAAGGGUCUAACUACAAAAACAACAUAAUUUGGAUGAGUUUUCAAUAACUUUGGUUAAUACCUGAUUUAUUGCCUAUUCCCGAUUGUCACUGACAAGGUGGUGAUGAGCAACAGUCAUUUUGGGAAAUUACUUCCACAUUGCUGCUGGGUAAGGAAAUAGAGGAUUUUACUUCAGUGGAAAUGACUGAGUGGCAACAUAUAACCAAAGUGAGGGUGGCGUGUGUUUUGGAGCAAAAGCUCCACAUCUUUGGGUUGUAAAAGUUGCAGAUUUGCGGGACAGUUGAUGAAGAAACCUCAAUAAGUUGCUGCCAUGUUGCUCAUUGUACAGAAUCAGAAACAGGUGUAUUAUCACUGAUGGAUGUCAUGAAUGUUGUUGUUUUGUGGCAUCCAUACAGGACAAGAAAUAAAAUUACUAGAAGUUGCAAUAAAAAAAGUAAAUAUUGCAAAAGAAGAAUAAUGAGGUAGUGUUCACGGGUUAAUGGACUGUCCGAAAUCUGAUGGCAGAGGGGAAGAAGAUGUUCUUAAAAUGUUAAGUGUGUGUCUUAGGGUCCCUGUAGAUCCUGUAGUAAUGAGAAGAGGGCACCUCCUUGAUGGUGGAGGUCCCUAUGAUGAAUGCUGCCUUCUUGAGGCAAUGUUUGAAAAUGUCCUCGAUGGCAGGGAGGCUUGUGCCUGUGAUGGAGCUGGCUCUGUCUACAACCCUUUUGAUCCCAUGCUUUGGGGACUCCAUUCCAGGCAGUGAUGCAACCAGUCAGAGUGCUCUCCAAAGUACCCCUGUAGAAAUUUGCUAGAGUCUUUGGUGAGAUGCCAAAUCCUAUCGAACACCUCAUGAAUAUAGCCAGAGGUGUGCCUUCUUCAUAGAAUUUUUUGAGGAUGUAACUAGUAGAGUGGAUAGGGGAGAACCAGUGGAUGUGGUAUAUUUGGAUUUUCAAAAGGCUUUUGACAAGGUCCCACAUAGGAGAUUAGUGUGCAAACUUAAAGCACACGGUAUUGGGGGUAAGGUAUUGGUGUGGGUGGAGAAUUGG